UGAAUACGAGACGCUAAGGCGUCGAAGUAGUGUAUGUCAUACUUCCAAGAAAAGCUUGCACUGUCAUAGAUAAAAAACGCCUGUACCAUAACCGACACAGGUGGGUAGGUAGAGUAUACUAAGGGGCGCGAGAUAACUCUCUCUAAGGAACUCGGCAAAAUGACUCCGUAACUUCGGGAGAAGGAGUGCCUUAUUCUUAAGGUUGCAAUAACAAGAUCCAAGCAACUGUUUAUCAAAAACACAGGUCUCCGCUAAGUCGUAAGACGAUGUAUGGGGGCUGACGCCUGCCCAGUGCCAGAAGGUUAAAGAAGAUGGUUAGCAUUUGCGAAGCUGAUAACUGAAGCCCUGGUAAACGGCGGCCGUAACUAUAACGGUCCUAAGGUAGCGAAAUUCCUUGUCGGGUAAGUUCCGACCCGCACGAAAGGCGUAAUGAUUUGGAUACUGUCUCGGAGAGGGGCUCGGUGAAAUAGACUUGUCUGUGAAGAUGCGGACUACCUGCACCAGGACAGAAAGACCCUAUGAAGCUUUACUGUAACUUGAAAUUGAAAUUGGACUUUAUUCGCGCAGUAUAGGUGGGAGGCGUUGAUUAUAAUCUUGCGGGAUUAUUGGAGCCAUCAGUGAGAUACCACCCUUGUAAUGUUAGAUUUCUAACUUUGAAUCAUUAUCUGGUCAAAGAACAGUUUCAGGCGGGCAGUUUGACUGGGGCGGUCGCCUCCUAAACGGUAACGGAGGCGUACAAAGGUUUCCUCUGAACGGUUAGAAAUCGUAUCUAGAGUGUAAAGGCAUAAGGAAGCUUGACUGUGAGACCUACAAGUCGAGCAGGGACGAAAGUCGGUCUUAGUGAUCUGACGGUACUGAGUGGAAAGGCCGUCACUCAACGGAUAAAAGUUACUCUAAGGAUAACAGGCUGAUCUCCCCCAAGAGUUCACAUCGACGGGGAGGUUUGGCACCUGGAUGUCGGCUCAUCGCAUCCUGGGGCGGUAGUACGUCCCAAGGGUUGGGCUGUUCGCCCAUGAAAGCGGUACGCGAGCUGGGUUCAGAACGUCGUGAGACAGUUCGGUCCAUAUCCGGUGUAGGCGUUAGAAUAUUGAGAGGAGCCUUCUUUAGUACGAGAGGACCGAGAAGGACAUACCUCUGGUGUACCAGUUAUCGUGCCAACGGUAAACGCUGGGUAGCUAUGUAUGGAGUGGAUAACCGCUGAAAGCAUCUAAGUGGGAAGCCCACCUCAAGAUAAGUAUUCUCA
rnacentral:rRNA from 1 species